GCGAGCCGUAUACACUGAAAGGUGUACGUACGGUUCUGUGGGAGGAAAGAGGAUAUUCCUAGCUUUUCUACCCAAC
rfam:Bacillus coahuilensis p1.1.43 ABFP000032, whole genome shotgun sequence.